rnacentral:rRNA from 1 species
UACAUGUGGGGCAAGCGUUGUUCGGAAUUACUGGGCAUAAAGGGUGCGUAGGCGGUUUGUUAAGUCACUGGUGAAAGUUUUCGGCCCAACCGGAAAAUUGCCUGUGAUACUGGCGAACUUGAGUGCGUGAGGGGUGGGGGGAACGAGCAGUGUAGCGGUGAAAUGCGUAGAUAUCGGAAGGAACGCCGGUGGCGAAAGCGACGUGCUGGACACCUUCUGACGCUGAGGCGCGAAAGCCAGGGGAGCAAGCGGG